rnacentral:rRNA from 1 species
GACGAACGCUGGCGGCGUGCUUAACACAUGCAAGUCGAGCGGUAAGGCCCUUUCGGGGGUACACGAGCGGCGAACGGGUGAGUAACACGUGGGUGACCUGCCCUCAGCUCUGGGAUAAGCCUGGGAAACCGGGUCUAAUACUGGAUAUGACUCCAUGACGCAUGUUGUGGGGUGGAAAGCCUUGUGCGGCUGAGGAUGGGCCCGCGGCCUAUCAGCUUGUUGGUGGGGUGAUGGCCUACCAAGGCGACGACGGGUAGCCGGCCUGAGAGGGCGACCGGCCACACCGGGACUGAGACACGGCCCAGACUCCUACGGGAGGCAGCAGUGGGGAAUCUUGCGCAAUGGGCGAAAGCCUGACGCAGCGACGCCGCGUGAGGGA